rnacentral:rRNA from 1 species
AGAGUUUGAUCCUGGCUCAGGACGAACGCUGGCGGCGUGCUUAACACAUGCAAGUCGAACGGUGACGAGGAGCUUGCUCCUCUGAUCAGUGGCGAACGGGUGAGUAACACGUGAGCAACCUGCCCCAGACUCUGGGAUAACAGUUGGAAACAGCUGCUAAUACCGGAUACGAGACGGAGAGGCAUCUCUACCGUCUGGAAAGUUUUUCGGUCUGGGAUGGACUCGCGGCCUAUCAGCUAGUUGGUGAGGUAAUGGCUCACCAAGGCGACGACGGGUAGCCGGCCUGAAAGGGCGNACCGGCCACANUGGNANUGANACACGGCCAAACUUCUACCGGANGCAACAGUGGGGAAUAUUGNACAAUGGGCNAAAGCCUNAUNCANCGACCCCGCGUGAGGGAUGACGGCCUUCGGGUUGUAAACCUCUUUAACAGGGAAGAAGCGAAAGUGACGGUACCUGCAGAAGAAGCACCGGCUAACUACGUGCCAGCAGCCGCGGUAAUACGUANGGUGCGAGCGUUGUCCGGAAUUAUUGGGCGUAAAGAGCUUGUAGGCGGUUUGUCGCGUCUGCAGCGAAAAUCCGAGGCUCAACCUCGGACUUGCUUGUGGGUACCGGCAGACUAGAGUAUGGUAGGGGAGACCGGAAUUNCUGGUGUANCGGUGGAAUGCGCANAUAUCAGGAGGAACACCGAUGGCGAAG